rnacentral:rRNA from 1 species
GACGAACGCUGGCGGCGUGCCUAACACAUGCAAGUCGAACGGAGAUAUGCGAACGAGGCCUUCGGGCGGAGAUUGCAUAUUUUAGUGGCGGACGGGCGAGUAACGCGUGAGCAACCUGCCCUUCAGAGGGGGAUAACGGCUGGAAACGGCCGCUAAUACCGCAUGACAUAUACACAAGGCAUCUUGAGUAUAUCAAAGGAGGAAUCCGCUGAAGGAUGGGCUCGCGUCCGAUUAGCUGGUUGGUGAGGUAACGGCUCACCAAGGCGACGAUCGGUAGCCGAACUGAGAGGUUGAUCGGCCGCAUUGGGACUGAGACACGGCCCAGACUCCUACGGGAGGCAGCAGUGGGGGAUAUUGCACAAUGGAGGAAACUCUGAUGCAGCGACGCCGCGUGGGGAAGAAGGUCUUCGGAUUGUAAAACCUCAGUAGUCAGGGAAGAAGCAAGUGACGGUACCUGAAGAGUAAGCUCCGGCUAACUACGUGCC